rnacentral:rRNA from 1 species
GACGAACGCUGGCGGCGUGCUUAACACAUGCAAGUCGAACGGAAAGGCCCUGCUUUUGUGGGGUGCUCGAGUGGCGAACGGGUGAGUAACACGUGAGUAACCUGCCCUUGACUUUGGGAUAACUUCAGGAAACUGGGGCUAAUACCGGAUAGGAGCUCCUGCUGCAUGGUGGGGGUUGGAAAGUUUCGGCGGUUGGGGAUGGGCUCGCGGCUUAUCAGCUUGUUGGUGGGGUAGUGGCUUACCAAGGCUUUGACGGGUAGCCGGCCUGAGAGGGUGACCGGCCACAUUGGGACUGAGAUACGGCCCAGACUCCUACGGGAGGCAGCAGUGGAGAAUAUUGCACAAUGGGCGGAAGCCUGAUGCAGCAACGCCGCGUGCGGGAUGACGGCCUUCGGGUUGUAAACCGCUUUCGCCUGUGACGAAGCGUGAGUGACGGUAAUGGGUAAAGAAGCACCGGCUAACUACGUG